rnacentral:rRNA from 1 species
AAGGGAAUCUUCCGCAAUGGGCGAAAGCCUGACGGAGCAACGCCGCGUGAGUGAUGAAGGUCUUCGGAUCGUAAAACUCUGUUAUUAGGGAAGAACAAAUGUGUAAGUAACUAUGCACGUCUUGACGGUACCUAAUCAGAAAGCCACGGCUAACUACGUGCCAGCAGCCGCGGUAAUACGUAGGUGGCAAGCGUUAUCCGGAAUUAUUGGGCGUAAAGCGCGCGUAGGCGGUUUUUUAAGUCUGAUGUGAAAGCCCACGGCUCAACCGUGGAGGGUCAUUGGAAACUGGAAAACUUGAGUGCAGAAGAGGAAAGUGGAAUUCCAUGUGUAGCGGUGAAAUGCGCAGAGAUAUGGAGGACCACCAGUGGCGAAGGCGACUUUCUGGUCUGUAACUGACGCUGAUGUGCGAAAGCGUGGGGAUCAAACAGG